rnacentral:rRNA from 1 species
GCCGCGGUAAUACGUAGGUGGCAAGCGUUGUCCGGAUUUAUUGGGCGUAAAGCGAGCGCAGGCGGUUUUUUAAGUCUGAUGUGAAAGCCUUCGGCUCAACCGAAGAAGUGCAUCGGAAACUGGGAAACUUGAGUGCAGAAGAGGACAGUGGAACUCCAUGUGUAGCGGUGAAAUGCGUAGAUAUAUGGAAGAACACCAGUGGCGAAGGCGGCUGUCUGGUCUGUAACUGACGCUGAGGCUCGAAAGUAUGGGUAGCAAACAGGAUUAGAUACCCUGGUAGUCCAUACCGUAAACGAUGAAUGCUAAGUGUUGGAGGGUUUCCGCCCCUCAGUGCUGCAGCUAACGCAUUAAGCAUUCGCCCUGGGGAGUACGGCCGCAAGGCCUGGAUUAGAUACCCUGGUAGUCCAUACCGUAAAAGAU